rnacentral:lncRNA from 10 species
AUAUUGCAGGUAGGAGAUCAUGAGCCUCGGUGGCUUGAGUGGACAUGGAAAGAGGAAUAGGAAGACAUCAAAGGGCAUCAUGCACGAAGAAUUAAGGGUCAGUUUUAUAUUUUGGAUAAAUCUUUGUGAUGUAGAAUGAACAGAGAGAGAAAGAGAAGACCUAGAGAAGACCCAGAGAUAAAUGUGUAAUGUGAAGUUAACCUCAAUGUGAUGUGCCAAGGGCAUGUGAAAUCACAAGGAGAAAGUGCAGUAUUUACUGAGUGAGCAGCUAUUCCAGUCAAUGGUAAGUGAUUUUUUUUUUUUUUUUUUUUGACGGAAUCCGGCUCUGUCGCCCAGGCUGGAAUGCAGUGGCGCAAUCUCGGCUCACUACAACCUCCGCCUCCCGAACUCCAUUCCAACUCAUCUGUCUCUCCUCAGCCAGUGACUCCUGAGGGCAGUGUCAGGAAAACGACUAGUAGCUUGUAUAUCUAACAAUAGAGAAAUGCUUAGGCAUUUCAGCUAGUGCCUCUGUACUCUGAAAAAUACCUGGAAAGGACACACCAGAAAGAAGAAGCCACUGAACAGGAAAAGGCCAUGAGAGAUGAGAAGAUGAUCAACGGAAGAGGAUAUAGGAUGAAGAUACACAAGUUCGGGUGGGGAGGAGAUGAAGAAAAAGAAGAGG